rnacentral:rRNA from 1 species
UUAAGGGUCCGUAGGCGGGCCAAUAAGUCAGUGGUGAAAUCCUAUCGCUUAACGAUAGAACUGCCAUUGUAACUGUUGGUCUUGAAUUAUUUUGAAGUUGGCGGAAUGAGUAGUGUAGCGGUGAAAUGCAUAGAUAUUACUCAGAACACCGAUUGCGAAGGCAGCUGACUAAGAAUAUAUUGACGCUGAUGGACGAAAGCGUAGGUAGCGAACAGGAUUAGAUACCCUGGUAGUCUACGCAGUAAACGAUGGAUACUCGUUGUCGGGAAAAUUGAGACUCGGUGGCUAAGCGAAAGUGAUAAGUAUCCCACCUGGGGAGUACGAUCGCAAGAUUGAAACUCAAAGGAAUUGACGGGGGCCCGCACAAGCGGUGGAGCAUGUGGUUUAAUUCGAUGAUACGCGAGGAACCUUACCUGGGCUUAAAUGUAGAUUGACAGGACUGGAAACAGUUUUUCCUUCGGGCAAUUUACAAGGUGCUGCAUGGUUGUCGUCAGCUCGUGCCGUGAGGUGUCAGGUUAAGUCCUAUAACGAGCGCAACCCCUAUCGAUAGUUGCUAGCAGGUCAUGCUGAGGACUCUAUUGAGACUGCCGGUGCAAACCGUGAGGAAGGUGGGGAUGACGUCAAAUCAUCACGGGCCCUUACGUCCAGGGCCACAC